GGGACCGUCGUCUAGCCUGGACUAGGAUGCAGGCCUGGGGAUAAAUCCCUAACCAGUACGCCUGUGGUCCCGGGUUCAAAUCCCGGCGGUCCCA
rnacentral:tRNA from 2 species